CCUGGCGGCACUAGCGCGGUGGUCCCACCUGACCCCAUGCCGAACUCAGAAGUGAAACGCCGUAGCGCCGAUGGUAGUGUGGGGAUGUGUAAGCGCAGCGAUGC
rnacentral:rRNA from 1 species